rnacentral:ncRNA from 1 species
GGAGGUGGGGGUGCAAAGACAGCCAGGAGGUUUGCCUAGAAGCAGCCACCCUUUAAAGAGUGCGUAAUAGCUCACUGAUCGAGCGCCCUUGCGCUGAAGAUGAACGGGGCUAAGCGAUCUGCCGAAGCUGUGGGGUGGCAAAAUGCAUCGGUAGGGGGGCGUUCCGCCUUAGAGGGAAGCAACCGCGAAAGCGGGGGUCGACGAAGCGGAAGCGA